AUCACAAAAAUGUAAAUUCUUCUCAUUUAUUGACUGAAAGAUCAGGUUACUUUCACACUGUAGAACUUCUAACUAAUAACCUCACACAUUCAACAAAUCCAACUUAUCACAGGUAGUAUUAGUAAGACCGCAGAUUUUAUUGCAUUUAUCCAAGCAGUUCGUUGAUAUGUCACUGUAUUAAUAAGUUCAUAGCUAAAUUCUGAAAAAUACAGUAGCCUGUUACAAAAAUUGGAUUGAACUGACAUGCUGAGCAGUGCACUGUCAGGAAAAAAUUUGAAAGGGGAGAUCCCAUCUGAGAUUAACAACAUGGAGGAAUUAACUGAGUUGUGGUUGGAUGGAAACUCCCUCACAGGGCCACUACCUGAUAUAAGCCAUCUUGUCAAAUUGAAAAUUGUGCAUCUAGAGAACAACAAACUAUCUGGUUCAUUACCUAAGUACCUGGUUAGUUUGCCAACCUUAAGAGCAUUGUAAGUAAUACUAAGGACUUUUUUAACUAUUAUUACUUGCAACAGAGGGCAAUUCAUAUUUCACUGGAUAUUUGAUUACAGAUACUCAGGAAGUGCGUUUGGGUGUGCUUUAAUCUGAUGUAAGCAUUCACCAUGUAAAUGGAAUAGGGUAUUCAGUAAUUGUGAAAAUCUUCUGUGGCAGAUACAUACAGAACAACUCUUUUAGU
rnacentral:misc_RNA from 1 species